rnacentral:lncRNA from 1 species
GGACAGCCUGCUGGCUCCAGUGUCUGCCACUUCUGUCCCCAAACAGGAGGACAGCUAUUGAUUGAGGAGAGCAUCCUCCUUCUCUCUGGCAGCAUCCUGAUGGUUGCCAGGCCCUGACCACAUCCACUACAGCUGCACGUGCUCUCUCAGACAGGAGGAAAACGAAAAAUCACCAAGAAGAAAACCAGGAUCAAGGAAGGGCAGGCAAGGGAGAGAGCUGGUUCCUCACUGGGUAGGGCUGGCAGGAAGAACUCAGACAUGGGGCCUGCUGAGGACACCCAACCUGGAGCGGAGCUGAGUGAACACACUGAGUGAGACUGCUCCGAGGUCUCCUGAACAAAGAGCCAAGAGAAUUCUAGACAAGAACAAAAGGAAGUCUUCCUCAGCUGGGGGCGGGGCAAUCGGCUUUGUAUUUUGUGUGUCUUUGUGGAUAGAAGCUGGCCUACAAAUCUACUUCAUUUACUGGUCAUACCCACCGAAUUAGGAACUGUGGCAGAGGGAGGAAAUCAUUAUAGGUGACACUGUGCUCACAGAGGACGGUUAUGUAGAAGGCCAUGCACACAUAUAUAC